UACAGAGGGUGCAAGCGUUAAUCGGAAUUACUGGGCGUAAAGCGUGCGCAGACGGUUGCGUAAGUCAGAUGUGAAAGCCCCGGGCUCAACCUGGGAAUUGCAUUUGAGACUGCGUAGCUAGGGUGCGGAAGAGGGAAGCGGAAUUUCCGGUGUAGCGGUGAAAUGCGUAGAUAUCGGAAGGAACACCAGUAGGCGAAAGCGGCUUCCUGGUCCAGCACCGACGUUCAGGCACGAAAGCGUGGGGAGCAAACAGG
rnacentral:rRNA from 1 species